rnacentral:lncRNA from 1 species
GGCGUUCUGGGGUUGGCGCGCCGCGGCAGCCCUCCGGCUGUGGGGCCGGGUAGUUGAACGGGUCGAGGCCGGGGGAGGCGUGGGGCCGUUUCAGGCCUGCGGCUGUCGGCUGGUGCUUGGCGGCAGGGACGAUGUGAGUGCGGGGCUGAGAGGCAGCCAUGGGGCCCGCGGUGAGCCCUUGGACCCGGCGCGCCCCUUGCAGAGGCCUCCCAGACCCGAGGUGCCCAGGGCAUUCCGGAGGCAGCCGAGGGCAGCAGCUCCCAGUUUCUUCUUUUCGAGUGUUGUUGGAAGUGGAGGCAGCAGUGACAAGGGGAAGCUUUCCCUGCAGGAUGUAGCUGAGCUGAUUCGGGCCAGAGCCUGCCAGAGGGUGGUGGUCAUGGUGGGGGCCGGCAUCAGCACACCCAGUGGCAUUCCAGACUUCAGAUCGCCG